rnacentral:SRP_RNA from 1 species
GCCGAGCACAGUUGCAUGAGCUUGUAACCCGAGUGGGGGCAUUGUGGUGAUGUGGACGUUGUUGUAGCGCUACGGGCCUGGUCUAGGUGUGCUAUUGCUGGCCCGCCCGUUCCAAGUUGUGUAGUGGACCGCCUGGGGCCUAUGCUAAAGUUGGGCCUCACGGUCCAUAAUGUGGCAGGGCCUCCUCCUCCUCCCA